UACGUAGGGGGCAAGCGUUGUCCGGAAUUAUUGGGCGUAAAGAGCGUGUAGGCGGUCCGGUAAGUCAGCUGUGAAAGUCAAGGGCUCAACCCUUGAAUGCCGGUUGAUACUGUCGGGCUAGAGUCCGGAAGAGGCGAGUGGAAUUCCCGGUGUAGCGGUGAAAUGCGCAGAUAUCGGGAGGAAUACCAGUGGCGAAGGCGGCUUUCUGGGCCUGUUCUGACGCUGAGGAGCGAAAGCGUGGGGAGCAAACCGG
rnacentral:rRNA from 1 species